GUCAGCACAGCUCGGUCUGUCUAGGCCCAGAACAAAUUUUUAAGACAUUUUCAGCAGAAAAAGCUUGCUAACCCUGAGUGAGUCCAUCCCCAUCUCUCGUAGAAUAAGACGUGGUCAAAAGUAUUCCCACAGAGAAGAGGAAGGAUCUAGAUGAGGAAGUUCACAGUUACCCAGUCAAGGACAAAUGCGGAUCUUGGUCCGGAACCCCGUCUGCGCCGAGCAGGGUUUGGAACUGAGAGUAAGGAUGCUCCACUUCUCCCAAGUGGUUCUGCAGCGCACUCUCCCUCCCACCAGACAUGAGACCAAGAGGAGCUGAAGAAGGUGACAGUGACAGAAUGAAGGCUGGUUCUCCAAGCUUCCUUCUUCCCAAGGGAGCAUGCCCGCUGGACCCACUUACCACUCGUGGGGAGCUGAAAACUCUCCAUUUCUCCAAGCUGCCCCCUCACCACCACACCCCCUUCAUUUGCCCUUUUUCAUACCCAUCCUCUUCCCAUGGGAUCAAGGAAAGAUGUCAGGAUCGCUCAUGUGUUUGUACCUCUGUGGUGGCCACGUGCAUUGGCUGUGAAAGCACCAAGUCAUAAAACAAAGCAGCUUCAGUCACUAAAGCACAGGCUUCCUGAGAGGAGGACCCGUGCCUUUUGACAGUAUGGCGCAAGGCCACUGUGAC
rnacentral:lncRNA from 1 species